CCUACGGGAGACAGCAGUGAGGAAUAUUGGUCAAUGGUCGGGAGACUGAACCAGCCAAGCCGCGUGAGGGAUGAAGGUACAGAGUAUCGUAAACCUCUUUUGUCAGGGAACAAAGGCGGGGACGCGUCCCCGGAUGAGUGUACCUGAAGAAAAAGCAUCGGCCAACGUCGUGCCAGCAGCCGCGGUAAUACGGAGGAUGCUAGCGUUAUCCGGAUUUAUUGGGUUUAAAGGGUUCGCAGGCGGUCUGUUAAGUCAGCGGUAAAAGCCCGGGGCUCAACCCCGGCCCGCCGUUGAAACUGGCAGUCUCGAGUUGGAGAGAAGUAUGCGGAAUGCGCGGUGUAGCGGUGAAAUGCAUAGAUAUCGCGCAGAACUCCGAUUGCGAAGGCAGCAUGCCGGCUCCACACUGACGCUGAGGCACGAAAGCGUGGGUAUCGAACAGGAUUAGAUACCCGGGUAGUC
rnacentral:rRNA from 1 species